CAGGUUUUUGCAUAAAAUAUAUUUAUUCACAAUGUACUGGUUAAUAUAAACUCUAGAAAAUGAAAUCUGUAAAAAUAAAAAUAAGCAUGUUUUCAUACACACACUGCACACGCACAGCCACACACUCGGGGGUCUGUUUUACAUUCUCUCCGGUAAUGGUUAAGGGUAAGACUGUGGACGGUCAACCUAAUCACAGGUCUUUAACUACAGAGGGAACGUUAACCCUAAGAGCUUCAAUCAUGGCGGUGUGUAUUAAUUAACCCCUUCAACCUGCUGACCUGGCACUAGAGAUGACAGCAACUGUACAUUGAUGCAAUUCAAGAUUGAAGCUGUCCAAUGUUUCACACCACCUAUAGCCGAGUCCCAGCUCUGUCUGUGCGUGGCAAGGAGUGACAACGUCGGCACAGACAGCGUAGACGCCGGGCCGUCUUUCACCCAUCCAAAAGAGAGGCCUGGAAGAAGACUGGUUUGAUCGAAUUAUUGGUUUAUUCACAUAUUUUUCAUUUCUUUUUUAAUUAAACGCAAGGUGAUUUAUAACAGGGAGUUGGGAGGUCCAAAGGACAGCUCACACAUAGUGUGGAAACAAACAAACAAAAACAAUAACGUUUCACAUCCUUUGUUUAAAAAAAACCCUAUUAGAAACAACAUAAUAUCCAGAACAAUACCAUAGCCUUUACAAUACUCAAAUUCCCAGUUCUCUUUGAGAGUCCAGCGAAGCUUUACAACAGUAUACAAUAUGGCCUCCUUGCUCCUGCCUCCUCCUCGGGAGUUGAUAUAGUCUUACUUUCAAGCUCUCUUUCUUUUUCAUUGUUCUCUUACUGCUCCUCACUUCAAUCCUAUGUUUUGAAGGGCACCCCUGUGUUUCGUUAGCGUCCCGUUGAAUACAGACAUUGGCUUCUCCUUGGUCCUAACCCAUCGCCAGUCAGACGAAGCCUGGGCAGAGUUCCUCCAAAAAGGUUUCUAGUUGUUUUUUUUGUUUUUUUUUCAAGGAGUCCACAGUAAGUAGCAGAUGCUCUUCUCGCUUUAGUCUUGGGUAAGGAAAACACCCGACAAGUCUUUAGUCUUGAGUAAGGAAAUCACCCGACAAGUCUUUAGUCUUGAGUAAGGAAAACACCCUACAAGUCUGUUAUUAUUCAUAUCUCUCAAUCGCUUCUUCUCAUAGAGGGAUCCCUUAGGGUCUACUGGGCUAGGCAGUCCGGCCUUUCGGUGGAGGGAUGAAUAGGGUCGUCCAGGAAUCGGACGCUGGCAGAGGGAACGGGCAGAGGGUCGGUGGAAGGUCUGGGUUCCCCUCUUAUCACUGCAUGGCGUGGAGCAGGCUGUGGAUCUGCCGGGACGGGUGUUGGAGGGGGUGGGGUCUGGGGGGGAUGGGAGCUGCUUGAAGCUGAAGUUGUUGUGGCCGGUCCCUUCUCUCCACCCCCGCCCCCCCCCCGCCCGACAGGCCGCAGAGCAGCCCUGUCAUCGGACAGGUCGUCCCCUGGUAUGCCCUGCAGUCCUGAAGGAGAGGAACAAAAUGGCGGAUCAGUGGGGGGGGUUUUGUACAGGAAGUCUGUAUGAAUGUAACAUUUCUUUCUUUAACAAACAUUGAAGUAGAACUGGACCGCAUUUCAGAUUUGGAUGGGAUAAGAACCAAGCUCAUUAGACAUGCAUUAUUCAGAAUUCAAGGUCAGUGGCUGCUGCUAUUGGCCGGAGCUAAUAGGGGUCCAAAUAAAAUACAGAAUUAAUUCAUACGUUGAAAUAUGCAUAGAGCAAACACUGACUGGCAAUUCAGCUGACCUAGAAUGACCGAUGCAGAGGACAGCAUUAAAAGCAACAGUAAGAAAAGCUGUUUACACUCCCCCGGACGGAGUCAGUAUUCACUGCUGUAACUGGCCCUCCCUCUCAUUCCUUUUCUCCAUCUAUUACCUCACUGGCUCUGCAGAUUGUUUGGGGAGCGACUGCAAUCUUAUCGGCCGGCCCAUGUUGACGCAUUCAUAAUUUUCGCCCAGGUGCUGGCGUUUAUAUGAUCAUGUCCAGGCAACAGACGAGUCGUCAAACAACAAUCGACUAGAGUGCACCCUUGUGCUACUGGCUGCCCAUUUCCCUGAGGGUGGGGACAGCACUCUCUGAGAACAUCUUUAGCACUAGAGACAGGAAACAUCUGUAAUAAAAUCAGCCCUUUGGAGACCCUAGAUAGGGACUACCUCUGACCCAAGACUACCUCUGACCCAAGACUACCUCUGUUCCAAGACUACCUCUGUUCCAAGACUACCUCUGACCCAAGACUACCUCUGUUCCAAGACUACCUCUGUUCCAAGGAACCCUUUUUGAAAAGUAGUGUAAUCACAUAGGAAAUAGUGUGUAAUAUAGCCAGGGACUUGGGCUUGUCGUAAUCUUAUGCAAGUCUGCCCUUCCCCAAGGUCACUGGAGGGGCGUGUGUGAGAGAUACCGUCACACGUUUUAGUGUGGGUUUAGUGUGUGUGAGCUAAUCCAGUAUUCUCCGUAAUGCCUCUUUAAGUACAGUGUGAGGGCACAGCCAAACACAGGUUCACUGAGAUCUACUCCAACUGAAACACAGGUUCACUGAGAUCUCCUGGAAUUGAAACAAAGCUUCACUAAGAUUUACUCCAACUGAAAAACAGUUUCACUGAGAUCUACUCCAACUUAAACACAGGUUCACUGAGAUCUCCUGGAACUGAAACACAGGUUUACUGAGAUCUACUCCAACUGAAACACAGGUUAACUGAGAUCUACUCCAACUGAAACACAGGUUUACUGAGAUCUACUCCAACUGUAACACAG
ensembl:lncRNA